UUCUCCAAUGAGGCAGCAUGAUGCAAAUGCUGUGUAACUGUGUGAGUAGGGAUUUAUGUUCUGUCUCCUUGAUCAAAGAGUGCUCCAAAAAUCUAAUGUUAAACUGAACAAAAUAUUUUGUGUAAGCUAUAUCUGAAGUUACAGAGUGCAUUGAAAGGAAAAUAAGAGCACAAUGCUGCCCAGGCCUCCCUUGUUUCUUUGCCACUUAAGUAUGCAUUUGUACAGACUAUGAUAUCACAAUUCAUUAAUCAGCAGCAGGCCGGCUCUCGAUGAGAUCAGAAUAUGGGCUUGUGCCAAUGUUUCUAUUAUCUGAUUCAUCAGGUGAUUUUUAUCAGCAAGGCAAAAAAAGCAGUUGUAGUUUAUAAAUAGAAACCAAAAUUGAAAUUGAAGAAAUCAAAUGUAAUCGUCUCACCUCAGACAUGAUUUCCAAGCAGCUAGGCUUCAGCUGUUUUCUUAUUAUGUGUAUUCCAGAAUUAGUGGAUUGGGGUACUGCAUCAAGGACAGGCAAGAAUGUUGAAGUAACAUGUUACCUUUAGAAGCCCUCAACAACAACACCACCAACAAAAAGAUAUAUGUUGGAUCAAGUUCACCUUUUGAAUAUGCAUUCACAGCUCUUUCUGAAGUUAGUGGUGUUUGGCUUGUACUACAGAACAGAAUCUGCCACGAAACUUUUAAGGAGGUCAUCUUCUCUGAAACUUGGGUGGAGAAGGAACAAGGAAGACUAGCACCAUGUAAGAUAACACUCAAAGUAAAGUUGGAGGAAGAAGAGGAAAUCUGGCUCAUGAUGACAUCAGCCUUUGAUUUAUGCUGGGGAGCGAAUUCACCAGGGUGCAUGAUUUUUUUGGGCAGAAUCUCUAAGUCAAUUUCUGGAGGCAUUCAGGGGCCACAAAGACAGACUUGGGGAGUUGCAUGACCCCACCAGGCUUCCUGUCUGCGAAUAAAUGGCUAACAGAAGAGAGUAUGCAGGACUUUUUGUCAUUCCAUUACCACUUGAUGUGGUUUGCUCUUGCAUCUGCCGGCUGCAGAAGAAAAUAUCUCCCUGCCCUUUCCACUUGCCAUCUCUCUACCAGUCCCUUCAGAAGAGGACAAGUAUUUCCCCUGACUUUUAAUUGAACUGCUAAGCAAUUGGAAACCUGAGUUUGCCAUUUUGCCAAUCAACAUUAUCACGCAAGAAAGGUGCUUCCUGUCCAUUGCAGCAUUGUGCUUUUCGCAGGGAAUUAAGAAAGGGAAAAAAUGCAGGACAGCAAAUUUCAGAUUUUUUUGGACUCAUUUGCAAGACUAGGCUAACAACUAUUACUGUCAAAAAGUGUUUAGUAUGGAAAACAGUGCAGAAAUUGGAAGCAUCAACUGAUUCAUAGUCAUUAACAAUAACCAUCGUAAUGUAUUAAUUUAUUGAUUAAAAUUUGGAAACAUUUUCACUGAGUAGUAAUGAGCUCCUGAAGAAAUCCUCCCAUUUUCAUUUCAGAAGAGUUAUCAGAGUUUGGGUUAAUUUGGACAUAUAGUCUAGUAAAAAAAGUAACCCUUUAAAUCCCUGGAUUCCUUACUUAGGAGAUAAUCAUCUUCAAAGCUGGUGUCAGCUGGAUUUUGUUAGUAGUUGGGACAAAAAAGUUGGCUUUUUGUGACAAAAUUGAACUUGUUUCUCCCUAAAUUGGGGGCAGCUUCUUAAUUGAUCAAAAAGAUGUUCAUCAAUUGAAAUAACUGAUUGAUAGAGUACUGACUGUGCCAAGCUAGUGAAGCCAGAAGCACUAAUGUCAUGGAGAUGGAUAUUUCUGGGUCUUGGGGAAAUCAUAACCUAUGGUUUCCAAAAGUAUGUCAAGGGGACAGCAGGAAUCAUAUUUUAUAGAUGGCAAAUAGAGCAUUUAAGGAUCCUGAUGCAUUUCAUAGGUUUUGUGAAAAUGAAGUGAUUUAAAUCACAUUAUUUGGUGUUUUUUCCCAUCUCUUUCACUAGUUAUGCACCAUAUAGAGUCCUGUCAGAAGUAGUGCUCAUGAAGGCAAUUCAAAAUAUACCAUAGUUAUUAUUUUGGAAUGAUUAACACAUGGCGGAUGUGAAACUCCCAAAACUGAGCCCUUCAGUUCAGUGUGCAGAGUCAUUGGAAAGCAAGGAAUUAAUGCAGAGUAUCUUGUUUUCAUGAUGUUUUUAUUGUUUCAUCACAUGAUGUCUUGGUCCAUUGGCCACAUUUACUGAGGGAUUCUGGAAGUUGUAGCUUACAAAAGUAACUUUUCCAGGUUCUGAUUCCAGUCAGAUUGGUAGAAGGGAAGAUAUCACAGCUUCACCAGAUGCAGUAUUGGGGCAUGGGGAAUAAUUCAAUGCCAUAUCCAGAUUUGGAUAUACAGUAGAUUUGAAAAGAAGGUCUUUGUGGUGAUCCAAGAGCCAAUGGGCAGCCAGUACAGACCUCCAUGGACCAAUGAUCUGGCCUGAUGUACAUUUGUUUCCUAAAAUUCAUUUGUCCAGAUUACAGCUCUUUGCAGUGCUAGCUCUUGGAUUUGGAAAUACUGGUGAUCUUGCCCAGUUCCUUCUAAAUUUCUACUACAAAAUAUAAAUCUUCCUUUUGCUAUAGAGUAGGAUUCACCCAUUGAUAGCUCUAUGGAUUUCAUAGGUUGGGAUUUCCUUGUAACAAUUUCUGUAGAUCAAAAACAAUCUGAGUCUUGGGUCUUGGAAACCUACGAGUCAUCUACCUUCCCAGACAAGUGCAGGCAUGUUCAAUCUCAUUGACCAAGAAUGAGACAAGAUCUCUUGUGAACUGCAUUAAGAAGAUCAAGGGUAGAACAGGAUUUCUUGCCUGUCUCCUACUCUUCUCUGACAUUCACAAUAAAGUAAGAAUGGUUGGACCAAUGGGUUCUUUGGUGGUGUCUCUACAUCAGAUUUGAAUGUUCCCUGUCCUUCCUCAUGUCACCAGAACCUGCCAGGGCUUGGAAAACAGUGAGCUGGGGCAUGGUAAGCCAUUCAGAAAGCACAAAUCGGUCCCUGUGAAGUAUAUACAAAGUAUACAAAGAUACAGUUGAAGGGGCAUUCCUAGCUUUUCCACACAUGCAAUAUUCUUUUCAGAUUCAAUUAUUUUUCUUCUCCAGAUGGCUGAGGGAAUUGUUGAAAAGGAGCCCAGUGCAUUAGGUGACCUUAAACUUUACCCUUCCCCCACUCUUUGAAAUCUCUGCUCUUAUGUAAGGUGUGAAAAUGCAAUGGUACUUGGGGCAUUACCCUCCUUAAGUAUUGUGAAUACGUGCACAAACAAGUAAUAUCAUACCAAAGAGUAAUGACAGAGGGAAGAUGAAGACAUCUCAGGACAUCCGAUGCACCUCUAGAACAAAGGGUGGAAUCUCUCCUUGGCUGGUUCUGACUGGUUGUGAAAUGUCUAUGCAUGGUUGUGAAAACUGGACAAUAAACAAAGAUCUCCCCAGUAAAGUCAGGCAGGCUCCCUCCCUCCUAUCUUUCCAUAGGAAAGUCAAAACUUGGUUGUGGGGUCAGGCUUUCGAAUAACAAUUAGCAGCACUAAUUACUAUUAUGUACGCUGGAACUCAAUUGACAGACCCAGUCUUUUAGAUUCGAGCAUGCCCAUCUGUAUUUUAUAAGUGUUUUUAUGAAUGUCUGAUGUAAUUUAAUAACUUUUUGAUUGAUUUAUUGUACAAUUUAUAUAUGUGCUUUAUUGUAAGCCACCCUGAGUCCCCUAUUGGGUGAGACGGGCGGGAUAUAAAUAUUGUAAUAAAUAAAAUAAAAUAAAAUAAAUAAAAUAAA